UUCCGUAGGUGAACCUGCGGAGGGAUCAUUACCGAGUUUUCAACUCCCAAACCCUUAUGUGAACCUACCUAUCGUUGCUUCGGCGGACUCGCCCCAGCCGGACGCGGACUGGACCAGCGGCCGCCGGGGACCAUCAAACUCUUGUAUUAUCAGCAUCUUCUGAAUACGCCGCAAGGCAAAACAAAUAAAUUAAAACUUUCAACAACGGAUCUCUUGGCUCUGGCAUCGAUGAAGAACGCAGCGAAAUGCGAUAAGUAAUGUGAAUUGCAGAAUCCAGUGAAUCAUCGAAUCUUUGAACGCACAUUGCGCCCGCCAGCAUUCUGGCGGGCAUGCCUGUUCGAGCGUCAUUUCAACCCUCGACCUCCCUUUGGGGAAGUCGGCGUUGGGGACCGGCAGCACACCGCCGGCCCUGAAAUGGAGUGGCGGCCCGUCCGCGGCGACCUCUGCGUAGUAAACCAACUCGCACCGGAACCCCGACGUGGCCACGCCGUAAAACACCCAACUUCCCAACGUGACCUCGAAU
rnacentral:sRNA from 1 species